UACGAAGGGGGCUAGCGUUGUUCGGAAUUACUGGGCGUAAAGCGCACGUAGGCGGAUAUUUAAGUCAGGGGUGAAAUCCCAGAGCUCAACUCUGGAACUGCCUUUGAUACUGGGUAUCUUGAGUAUGGAAGAGGUAAGUGGAAUUGCGAGUGUAGAGGUGAAAUUCGUAGAUAUUCGCAGGAACACCAGUGGCGAAGGCGGCUUACUGGUCCAUAACUGACGCUGAGGUGGCGAAAGCGUGGGGAGCAAACAGG
rnacentral:rRNA from 1 species